rnacentral:tRNA from 1 species
GGAAUGUAGCUCAGUGGUACAGCGCUUGCCUAGCACGUAUGAAGUCUUGGGUUCAAUCCUCAACACCA